rnacentral:rRNA from 1 species
ACGCUGGCGGCGUGCCUAACACAUGCAAGUCGAGCGAGGAGAUUCCUUCGGGAUGAUCCUAGCGGCGGACGGGUGAGUAACACGUGGGCAACCUGCCUCAUAGAGAGGAAUAGCCUUCCGAAAGGGAGAUUAAUACCUCAUAACAUUGCAGUUUCGCAUGGAACAGCAAUUAAAGGAGUAAUCCGCUAUGAGAUGGGCCCGCGGCGCAUUAGCUAGUUGGUGAGGUAACGGCUCACCAAGGCGACGAUGCGUAGCCGACCUGAGAGGGUGAUCGGCCACAUUGGGACUGAGACACGGCCCAGACUCCUACGGGAGGCAGCAGUGGGGAAUAUUGCACAAUGGGGGAAACCCUGAUGCAAGCAACGCCGCGUGAGUGAUGACGGCCUUCGGGUUGUAAAGCUCUGUCUUCAGGGACGAUAAUGACGGUACCUGAGGAGGAAGCCACGGCUAACUACGUGCCAGCAGCCGC